AGUGAACGCUGGCGGUAGGCCUAACACAUGCAAGUCGAACGGCAGCACAGUAAGAGCUUGCUCUUACGGGUGGCGAGUGGCGGACGGGUGAGGAAUACAUCGGAAUCUACUUUUUCGUGGGGGAUAACGUAGGGAAACUUACGCUAAUACCGCAUACGACCUACGGGUGAAAGCAGGGGAUCUUCGGACCUUGCGCGAUUGAAUGAGCCGAUGUCGGAUUAGCUAGUUGGCGGGGCAAAGGCCCACCAAGGCGACGAUCCGUAGCUGGUCUGAGAGGAUGAUCAGCCACACUGGAACUGAGGCACGGUCCAGACUCCUACGGGAGGCAGCAGUGGGGAAUAUUGGACAAUGGGCGCAAGCCUGAUCCAGCCAUACCGCGUGGGUGAAGAAGGCCUUCGGGUUGUAAAGCCCUUUUGUUGGGAAAGAAAAGCAGCAGGUUAAUACCCCGCUGUUCUGACGGUACCCAAAGAAUAAGCACCGGCUAACUUCGUG
rnacentral:rRNA from 1 species